rnacentral:rRNA from 1 species
UACGGGGGGGGCAAGCGUUGUUCGGAAUUACUGGGCGUAAAGGGCUCGUAGGCGGCCAACUAAGUCAGACGUGAAAUCCCUCGGCUUAACCGGGGAACGGCGUCUGAUACUGGAUGGCUUGAAUCCGGGAGAGGGAUGCGGAAUUCCAGGUGUAGCGGUGAAAUGCGUAGAUAUCUGGAGGAAUACCGGUGGCGAAGGCGGCAUCCUGGACCAAUAUUGACGCUGAGGAGCGAAAGCUAGGGGAGCAAACAGG